GUGCCAGCAGCCGCGGUAAUACGUAGGGGGCAAGCGUUGUCCGGAAUUAUUGGGCGUAAAGCGCGCGCAGGCGGUUUCUUAAGUCUGAUGUGAAAGCCCACGGCUCAACCGUGGAGGGUCAUUGGAAACUGGGGGACUUGAGUGUAGGAGAGGAAAGUGGAAUUCCACGUGUAGCGGUGAACUUUUGGAAAGGAUGUGGAGNGAACACCAGUGGCGAAGGCGACUUUCUGGCCUAUAACUGACGCUGAGGCGCGAAAGCGUGGGGAGCAAACAGGAUUAGAUACCCUGGUAGUCCACGCCGUAAACGUUGAGUGCUAAGUGUUAGGGGUUUCCAUGCCCUUAGUGCCGAAGUUAACACAUUAAGCACUCCGCCUGGGGAGUACGGCCNGCAAGGCNUGNANAACUCAAAGGAAUUGACGGGGGCCCGCACAAGCAGUGGAGCAUGUGGUUUAAUUCGAAGCAACGCGAAGAACCUUACCAGGUCUUGACAUCCUCUGACCACCCUAGAGAUAGGGCUUUCCCCUUCGGGGGACAGAGUGACGGGGGGUGCGUGGUUGUCCUCCUCUCGUGUCGUGAGGUGUUGUGUUAACUCCCGCAACGAGCGACACCUUUGAUCUUAUUUGCCAACUUUUAUUUGGGCUCUCUAGGGUGAGUGCCGGUGACAAACCAGAAGAAGGUGGAGAAGACCUCAUA
rnacentral:rRNA from 1 species